GCCCCCGCGUAGGGGAGCGAGCGCUCGCGGGCCCGUGGUGGGUUCGGCUGCGCUGCGUGAGGGGCUGAGGCGGCUGUGGUGGCGCGAGCGCAGGGAGCGGACAUUGGGUUCCUGAACCUCGGCGCUGAAGACAGCCAGGCCUCCAGCACAGGGUCAAACAGUGCUGCUUCUUGGAAAAACUGAAAAAGCUCUCUGGACGACAGGGGCCCAGAGCUGAUGGCAGACAAUGUCAGCCACUAACAACAUAGCCCAGGCUCGGAAGCUGGUGGAACAGCUCCGCAUCGAAGCCGGGAUCGAGCGCAUCAAGGUCUCCAAAGCCUCCUCCGAACUCAUGAGCUACUGUGAGCAGCACGCCCGGAGCGACCCCCUGCUGGUGGGAGUCCCCGCCUCGGAGAACCCCUUUAAGGACAAGAAGCCUUGUAUUAUCCUGUAGCUCUAUCUUCCCUCUUGCUAGGCUCCUCCCCGCCCCCCCCUCCCCCAGCCAGGGCAUCAUUCAGUACACAGUCAAGCAAAACUCUUAAUUCCAAAAGAAAUGCAAAAAGUUGCCAUCACCCAGGUGGGGUAAAAUGUAUCCUCUGGGUUCAGAUGGAUUUUCAGACCCAACAUCACAGCCCUGUCAGGGGCCGGGCUCCACCACCACUUCUGAUGGGGAAUAGCUGAAAUGCCCAAGCGAUGUGGUAACGAUUUUUGAAAACUGCGUUGCCAUUUGAGUCAUGGUCUAGAGCCGAGCUGGGCGGGGAGACGGGAAGGAGGUGGGUGAAUUAGCCGCUGGCGUGGGUGACCCGGCCGGGUGGCAAGUCUCAUACAGUUGGCCAUUGGUGAGGACUUCAGCCAGGUUGAUGAUGUGAUGCUUUUGGCCAGGGUGUGUUAAGUGGAGAAAAAUUGGGUGGAGUUGGGAGGAGGGACAUAAUGAACUUUUUUCAGAAAUUUUUCUCCUUUUCAUUUAAAACCUUGUAAUUCCAUACCGCUAAAAUCGGGUGUCAUUGGCUGAACCUGUAGCUAAGCUGGGUUGUGUGACAAUGCACACGUGGAUGUUAGGGGCUGGGAGGGGGGCUUUGCCUGUGAAACGCACCCCUGUCACCUAGGGUCACCCAGCUGUGUGGCUUUUGUGUGGCAUGUGUCAUCCGACAGCCAUGCUGAGGCCCCCUCCCUUUCCUGGGGACCCCGCCCAUCCCAGAAACGGAUUUUCAGCCCAUGGCUCUGGUCACUGCAACGGCCAGCUGUGUUUUCUUUAGUUUUAAGCACGAGACAUCAGCGUGGGCAGUUAGAGGCUGUGGUCAUAUUUGGCUCUUCCGUGUUUUGUUCUGUUUUUUUCCACUUUCUGCAUCUCCAUGGUCAUUUUUCAGGCAGAAAUGCAGCCUGGGGAGGCCAGCCCGGGGCCCCCUGGUGCUUCGGGGUAUAGAAAGGUGCGAGGGAAUUCCCCGGUGGUCCAGUAGUUACGACUCCGCGCUUCCACUGCAGGGGGCACGGUUUCGAUCCCGGGGAACUAAGACUAAGAUCCUGCAAGCCGGGCGGGCGGC
rnacentral:lncRNA from 1 species